CGUACACUCCUACGGGAGGCAGCAGUGGGGAAUAUUGGACAAUGGGCGCAAGCCUGAUCCAGCCAUGCCGCGUGAGUGAUGAAGGCCCUAGGGUUGUAAAGCUCUUUCACCGGUGAAGAUAAUGACGGUAACCGGAGAAGAAGCCCCGGCUAACUUCGUGCCAGCAGCCGCGGUAAUACGAAGGGGGCUAGCGUUGUUCGGAUUUACUGGGCGUAAAGCGCACGUAGGCGGACUAUUAAGUCAGGGGUGAAAUCCCGGGGCUCAACCCCGGAACUGCCUUUGAUACUGGUAGUCUUGAGUUCGAGAGAGGUGAGUGGAAUUCCGAGUGCAGAGGUGAAAUUCGUAGAUAUUCGGAGGAACACCAGUGGCGAAGGCGGCUCACUGGCUCGAUACUGACGCUGAGGUGCGAAAGCGUGGGGAGCAAACAGGAUUAGAAACCUUAGUAGUCCC
rnacentral:rRNA from 1 species